rnacentral:rRNA from 1 species
GAUGAACGCUGGCGGCGUGCCUAAUACAUGCAAGUCGAGCGAAUGGAUUAAGAGCUUGCUCUUAUGAAGUUAGCGGCGGACGGGUGAGUAACACGUGGGUAACCUGCCCAUAAGACUGGGAUAACUCCGGGAAACCGGGGCUAAUACCGGAUAACAUUUUGAACCGCAUGGGUCGAAAUUGAAAGGCGGCUUCGGCUGUCACUUAUGGAUGGACCCGCGUAGCAUUAGCUAGUUGGUGAGGUAACGGCUCACCAAGGCAACGAUGCGUAGCCGACCUGAGAGGGUGAUCGGCCACACUGGGACUGAGACACGGCCCAGACUCCUACGGGAGGCAGCAGUAGGGAAUCUUCCGCAAUGGACGAAAGUCUGACGGAGCAACGCCGCGCGAGUGAUGAAGGCUUUCGGGUUGUAAAACUCUGUUGUUAGGGAAGAACAAGUGCUAGUUGAAUAAGCUGGCACCUUGACGGUACCUAACCAGAGAGCCACGGCUAACUACGUGCCAGCCGCCGCGGUAA